GAAAAGUUAGUUUAUUAUAAAAACAUCAAUCUGUCAGAUUCAAGAAACUAAGAAUGGUAUUUUUCU
rnacentral:tRNA from 2 species